UAGAACAGAUGCAACUACUUGUAAUUCUGAAUAAUUAGCUUUAGUUACUGUUAAAAACAACCUGUGAAAAAUUUCUUGACUGGCCCUGCUCACGAGAGCCGAAAUCCCUGGGCCCCCGAAAUUUCUUGACUGGCCCUGCUCACGAGAGCCGAAAUCCCUGGAGGCUGGAGUGGUAGAUGAUCUCAUGCGACAGUGGGUUGAAAGUGAGCUAGACGCUCGUGCCGCCGGUUUCGAACGCGUGCUACCGGUCGGCUCCUUGUGUCCUCCAGUGAAUGCGAUGAGCGGAUACUCAUCUAUAGCUAUAUGUCGAACAACAGCAUGGAUCUCUGCUUAUACUUCUAUAUUUUUUCUUGCCUAUGCUCAGAAUUUGGAUCACAAUAGUAAAUAGAUCAUUAGGUUUUCUUCUAUAAUUGUUGGUUGUUGUUGUUCUGUGCUCCAACACAUACGAGCAGCUCAUUGUUGCACGGAGAUAAGUUUCAUGCACAUAAUUAAAGUUCCGGAUAACCGAAGUACAAAUCUGUAAAUACCUUUAGAGAAAGCUUGUAUGCUUGACAUGCUUGACCAUGUAAAAGCUCAUGCAUGAGUAAUUAUAUCGUCAGGUUAUUCUUUUUAUCUGCAAGGUGAGCUUCAAAAUUCUGUAAACUAGCAUUUCCAAUAGUUCAGAGCUGCCACUUUACUUUCAGUAUUUAGGUGGAUGAUCUCUGCUUAAAUUCCUAAUACAAGUAAUGCACUCCGGCAAGUUCUAUUUAUUUGUGUCCUUGCUGCCAAUAGAUGUAAUUUUAUCGCGAGCACCCAAGUACAGCAGCACUAUUGUCGUUCAUUAUUGUUGCCUUAUGCCCUAGAGAGAAAAUAAUUAGCAUUUACCUCUGUGUACCGGACUAUAGUUGUACCAUAUGCCUAUUGUACCAUUUUCAUCCUUGAUAGAUGCAGCGAGUAAAUUGUCACUGAAAAAUGUUGUGGUUGCAGCGUUUGUUUUGUUAAUUCUGCAUUCCUUCCUUUAUGAGAAAAAUGUUACUUCUGCGUUAGUUAUAUGUUAUGUUUCUCUAUUUUUGUAAAAAUAUUCAUACAUGUGUUUGAAUUGUUUUUAGUAGCUGUCUUUAUUACUCUCUCUGAUUGAAACAAAAAAUCGGAGGCUGCCUACAGCAAGUCCGUUUGUCAUCAGCGCCUUUCUUUGCUUGGUAGUUCCACAUCCAAUCUUUCAAGCUACAUCCAUAUGUAAGAAAGUUACAAUUAAUCCAGUACUAAUAGUUUUGUACGUACGUAUAUGCGCACUUACCCCUUCUAUAUACAUAUGAUUCAGGAGCAUCUUUUACUAGCAUUUUGUUUCAUUGCCCCAUACAAAAUGUAUGCAAGUGAUGUCUAUUGUUUUUUUCCUUUGUCUAAAUAUACUACAGAAGCAUGUCUUGAAUAAAAGCUGGUUGGCGUCGUCGCAAUUGCCAAAUGUGUGUGGACGUAUUUUUCAUCUUCCACAUGUUCUCUGUCGAGAGCAAUGAGCAUAGUUUUCACUGCGAAAAGCAACCCUGAAUUAGUUUUCAAAAUUAUAUUUCAUGGCUUUCAAAGUUUUAAUAUGAUUGUUGUUGCUAACGGCCAUGUCGCAAACGUCGGCCGGUGCACACCAUGUCGCGUGCUGUUCUGCGAUUUCUGAGAGAGGCAGUGGAUAUGUGCUUCUCAAUCAAGGAGCUUUUGUCAAACCGGAUUUGCUUCAGAUCACGGAAGCUUGGGUUGAUGGAGUGCUUGUCUUUAGUUUUUGUUUUGACUUUGUGAAACUUGCUACCUAUGAUGAAACUGUGUAA